rnacentral:rRNA from 1 species
UACGUAGGGUGCAAGCGUUGUCCGGAAUUAUUGGGCGUAAAGAGCUUGUAGGCGGUUUGUCGCGUCUGCUGUGAAAUUUCGGGGCUCAACCCCGAACUUGCAGUGGGUACGGGCAGACUAGAGUGUGGUAGGGGAGACUGGAAUUCCUGGUGUAGCGGUGAAAUGCGCAGAUAUCGGGAAGAACACCUAUGGCGAAGGCAGCUCUCUGGGACGGUACUGACGCUGAGACGCGAAAGCGUGGGGAGCGAACAGG